rnacentral:rRNA from 1 species
AUUGAACGCUGGCGGCAUGCUUUACACAUGCAAGUCGAACGGUAACAGGCCUUCGGGUGCUGACGAGUGGCGCACGGGUGAGUAAUGCAUCGGAACGUACCCAGAGGUGGGGGAUAACGCAGCGAAAGCUGUGCUAAUACCGCAUGUGAUCUGAGGAUGAAAGCGGGGGACCGAGCAGCAAUGUUUGGCCUCGCGCCUUUGGAGCGGCCGAUGUCGGAUUAGCUAGUUGGUGGGGUAAAGGCCUACCAAGGCGACGAUCCGUAGCUGGUCUGAGAGGACGACCAGCCACACUGGGACUGAGACACGGCCGAGACUCCUACGGGAGGCAGCAGUGGGGAAUUUUGGACAAUGGGCGCAAGCCUGAUCCAGCAAUGCCGCGUGCGGGAAGAAGGCCUUCGGGUUGUAAAACGCUUUUGGCAGGAACGAAACGGUGUCCGCUAAUACCGGGCGCUAAUGACGGUACCUGCAGAAUAAGCACCGGCUAACUACGUG